GUGAAUCAUCGAAUCUUUGAACGCAAAUUGCACUCUCCGGUUUUCCGGGAGAGUAUGCCUGUUUGAGGGUCUGUUUAAAAAAUAAUCGAGGCUGCUGCUGUGGUGGCGCUUCGGAAUUGGGUCAUCUUCCACCUUUCGGGGUUGUAAGCGACCUAAAAUUUUUCUUACGAUUUCUACUUACGGUUCAAAGAAUUUUUCUGUUAGUUU
rnacentral:misc_RNA from 1 species